UACGUAGGGUGCGAGCGUUAAUCGGAAUUACUGGGCGUAAAGCGUGCGCAGGCGGUUUUGUAAGCCAGAUGUGAAAUCCCCGGGCUCAACCUGGGAAUGGCAUUUGGGACUGCAAGGCUGGAGUUUGGCAGAGGAGACUGGAAUUCCUGGUGUAGCAGUGAAAUGCGUAGAUAUCAAGAGGAAUACCGAUGGCGAAGGCAGGUCUCUGGGCUAUAACUGACGCUCAUGCACGAAAGCGUGGGGAGCAAACAGG
rnacentral:rRNA from 1 species